CCAUAUCAUGUUGAAACAUCAGUUCCUGUAUGAUCACCAAAGUUAAGAGACAUCAUGCCUGGUCAGUACAAAGAUGGGUAACUGCUUGGGAAUUCCAGGUGCUGUAAG